rnacentral:rRNA from 1 species
AUUGAACGCUGGCGGCAUGCCUUACACAUGCAAGUCGAACGAGGGUAGCAAUACCUUGGUGGCGAACGGGUGAGUAAUAUAUCGGAGCGUAUCCUAGAGUGGGGGACAACCAGUCGAAAGACUGGCUAAUACCGCAUACGAUAUCUGGAUGAAAGUGGGGAAGCGCAAGGCCUCACGCUCCUCGAGCGGCCGAUAUCUGAUUCGCUAGUUGGUAGGGUAAAAGCCUACCAAGGCAUCGAUCAGUAGCUGGUCUGAGAGGACGAUCAGCCACACUGGGACUGAGACACGGCCCAGACUCCUACGGGAGGCAGCAGUGGGGAAUUUUGGACAAUGGGGGAAACCCUGAUCCAGCAAUGCCGCGUGAGUGAAGAAGGCCUUCGGGUUGUAAAGCUCUUUUGUCAGGGAAGAAAAGGCUAUGGCUAAUAUCCAUGGCUGAUGACGGUACCUGAAGAAUAAGCACCGGCUAACUACGUGCCAGCCGCCGCAGUAA